rnacentral:rRNA from 1 species
UACGGAGGGGGCUAGCGUUGUUCGGAAUUACUGGGCGUAAAGCGCACGUAGGCGGCUUUGUAAGUUAGAGGUGAAAGCCUGGUGCUCAACACCAGAACUGCCUUUAAGACUGCAUCGCUUGAACACGGGAGAGGUGAGUGGAAUUCCGAGUGUAGAGGUGAAAUUCGUAGAUAUUCGGAAGAACACCAGUGGCGAAGGCGGCUCUCUGGGACGGUACUGGACGCUGAGACG